rnacentral:rRNA from 1 species
UACAGAGGGGGCAAGCGUUAUUCGGAUUCACUGGGUUUAAAGGGUGCGUAGGCGGGUAAGUAAGUCCGUGGUGAAAUCUCUGAGCUUAACUCAGAAACUGCCGUGGAUACUAUUUGCCUUGAAUAUUGUGGAGGUGAGCGGAAUAUGUCAUGUAGCGGUGAAAUGCUUAGAUAUGACAUAGAACACCAAUUGCGAAGGCAGCUCACUACUCAAUCAUUGACGCUGAGGCACGAAAGCGUGGGGAUCAAACAGG